AGUGAACGCUGGCGGUAUGCCUAACACAUGCAAGUCGAACGGCAGCACAGUAAGAGCUUGCUCUUACGGGUGGCGAGUGGCGGACGGGUGAGGAAUACAUCGGAAUCUACUUUUUCGUGGGGGAUAACGUAGGGAAACUUACGCUAAUACCGCAUACGACCUACUGGUGAAAGCAGGGGAUCUUCGGGCCUUUCGCGAUUGAAUGAGCCGAUGUCGGAUUAGCUAGUUGGCGGGGUAAAGGCCCACCAAGGCGACGAUGCGUAGCUGGUCUGAGAGGAUGAUCCGCAACACUGCAGAUGAGAUAAGCUCCAGCACCGUACGGGAGGCAGCAGUGGGGAAUAUUGGACAAGGGGCGCAAGCCUGAUCCAGACAUACCGCGUGGGUGAAGAAGGCCUUCGGGUCGUAAAGCCUUUUUGUUGGGAAAGAAAAGCAGCAGGUUAACACCCCGCUGUUCUGAAGGUACCCAAAGAAUAAGCACCGGCUACCUCCGU
rnacentral:rRNA from 1 species